CCCGUAUGAGGAGAGGGCCCGGGCUGAGGCUGACAGGGCCAGGGUUCCAUCCAUGCUCCUGCUCUGGGCUGGCAGCUCCACCUGGUGUGGAAUAGUCUGGGGGUCUGACCUGGGUGGACCUGUCAGGGGUGAGAAUAGAGCUUUGCACGGUUAUAAAUACAACAGGUAUCAUUUAUUGAGUGGUUAGGAUGUGCCAAGCCCCGCAUCAUGAUUUUUUACCUGCAUAAUUAUGCUUAACCCCUCAGCAGUCCUAUGAGGCAGGUAACUAAUAACAUCUCUGAUUUUGGUGGGGGUUUGGGCGGGGGACGGCAAGGCUCAGGAUCACAGAACUAGGAGGUAGGAUUCAAACCCAAGUCUGCCUUGGAGCCAAGCUCCUACUGCCUACAUUGUACUGUCUCCUUGACUGGGUCCUCUCGAUGCCACCUCCUCCCAAAAGUCUUCCCAGAUUGCCUGAGCCUGAGUUAGGGUUCUCUGUCUGUGUCCCCACAGCCUCACCGUCUGAGUGCCGGUCCCACCGAGUUGUAGUUGCCCGGUUACGUCUCUGAGAACAGAGACUUGCGAGGGCGGAGGGCUUUCUGCCAUCAUCCCUGAUGGCCCCCUAACAUGUAACGUGGUACCUGUGCCAAGCGUGCAGGCAGGGCACUGCGCCCUGAUUCUCCACUCCGGGUGUGGGAUAUUAGGGAUGUGACACAGACAUUUGGCUGGCUGGACAUCCAGAGAGGCCCUCUUAGAUGUGGCUCACAGCAGAAGCCGCAGGACCUCUGGGUCCCCGAGCUUCAAAUCCCAGGAGGACGGGAUGCCCUGGGGCCUGGGUCACGUUUGAGUGCUGUUCUGGGGACUCCGUGUGAGAUGAAAACACACAGCCUCGGUUUUCACCUCCUCAGCCCUCGGGUCCCGGGCAGCCCUGGCCAAGCCCAGCCUGCCUUUUCUUUUCUUUCUCCUCUUCAGCAUCACUUUUCAAAUGUCUUCCCCUCUCACCUGGGAACUUCCAUAUGCUGCAGGUGUGGCCCUUAAAAAAAAAAAAAAAAAGAGCACAUUUUGAAGAGAAUAUCUGUAUUUUUUCCAAAACAAAAUUUUAGUGAGAAGAAUGGCACUGCUUUAUAUGUAUAUAUAUAUAUAUAUUUUUUUCUCUCUUUUUGCCAUUUC
rnacentral:lncRNA from 1 species